GAUGAAGAACGCAGCGAAAUGCGAUAAGUAAUGUGAAUUGCAGAAUUCAGUGAAUCAUCGAAUCUUUGAACGCACAUUGCGCCCGCCCGUAUUCUGGCGGGCAUGCCUGUCUGAGCGUCAUUUCAACCCUCAUGCCCCUAGGGCGUGGUGUUGGGGAUCGGCCAAAGCCCGCGAGGGACGGCCGGCCCCUAAAUCUAGUGGCGGACCCGUCGUGGCCUCCUCUGCGAAGUAGUGAUAUUCCGCAUCGGAGAGCGAUGAGCCCCUGCCGUUAAACCCCCAACUUUCCAAGGUUGACCUCAGAUCAGGUAGGAAUACCCGCUGAACUUAAGCAUAUCAAUAAGCGGAGGA
rnacentral:misc_RNA from 1 species